rnacentral:rRNA from 1 species
AUGAACGCUAGCGACAGGCCUAACACAUGCAAGUCGAGGGGCAGCGGGGAGGUAGCAAUACCUUUGCCGGCGACCGGCGCACGGGUGAGUAACACGUAUGCAAUCCACCUGUAACAGGGGGAUAACCCGGAGAAAUCCGGACUAAUACCCCAUAAUAUGGGCUCUCCGCAUGGAGGGCUCAUUAAAGAGAGCAAUUUUGGUUACAGACGAGCAUGCGCUCCAUUAGCCAGUUGGCGGGGUAACGGCCCACCAAAGCGACGAUGGAUAGGGGUUCUGAGAGGAAGGUCCCCCACAUUGGAACUGAGACACGGUCCAAACUCCUACGGGAGGCAGCAGUGAGGAAUAUUGGUCAAUGGUCGGCAGACUGAACCAGCCAAGUCGCGUGAGGGAAGACGGCCCUACGGGUUGUAAACCUCUUUUGUCGGAGAGUAAAGUACGCUACGUGUAGCGUAUUGCAAGUAUCCGAAGAAAAAGCAUCGGCUAACUCCGUGCCAGCAGCCGCGGUAAUACGGAGGAUGCGAGCGUUAUCCGGAUUUAUUGGGUUUAAAGGGUGCGUAGGCGGCACGCCAAGUCAGCGGUGAAAUUUCCGGGCUCAACCCGGAGUGUGCCGUUGAAACUGGCGAGCUAGAGUACACAAGAGGCAGGCGGAAUGCGUGGUGUAGCGGUGAAAUGCAUAGAUAUCACGCAGAACCCCGAUUGCGAAGGCAGCCUGCUAGGGUGAAACAGACGCUGAGGCACGAAAGCGUGGGUAUCGAACAGGAUUAGAUACCCUGGUAGUCCACGCAGUAAACGAUGAAUACUAACUGUUUGCGAUACAAUGUAAGCGGUACAGCGAAAGCGUUAAGUAUUCCACCUGGGGAGUACGCCGGCAACGGUGAAACUCAAAGGAAUUGACGGGGGCCCGCACAAGCGGAGGAACAUGUGGUUUAAUUCGAUGAUACGCGAGGAACCUUACCCGGGCUUGAAUUGCAACUGAAUGAUGUGGAGACAUGUCAGCCGCAAGGCAGUUGUGAAGGUGCUGCAUGGUUGUCGUCAGCUCGUGCCGUGAGGUGUCGGCUUAAGUGCCAUAACGAGCGCAACCCCUAUCGACAGUUACUAACGGGUGAAGCCGAGGACUCUGUCGAGACUGCCGGCGCAAGCCGCGAGGAAGGUGGGGAUGACGCCAAAUCAGCACGGCCCUUACGUCCGGGGCGACACACGUGUUACAAUGGCAGGUACAGAAGGCAGCCAGUCAGCAAUGACGCGCGAAUCCCGAAAACCUGUCUCAGUUCGGAUUGGAGUCUGCAACCCGACUCCAUGAAGCUGGAUUCGCUAGUAAUCGCGCAUCAGCCAUGGCGCGGUGAAUACGUUCCCGGGCCUUGUACACACCGCCCGUCAAGCCAUGGAAGCCGGGAGUACCUGAAGCAUGCAACCGCAAGGAGCGUACGAAGGUAAUACCGGUAACUGGGGCU